AGUGAACGCUGGCGGUAGGCCUAACACAUGCAAGUCGAACGGCAGCACAGUAAGAGCUUGCUCUUACGGGUGGUGAGUGGCGGACGGGUGAGGAAUACAUCGGAAUCUACUUUUUCGUGGGGGAUAACGUAGGGAAACUUACGCUAAUACCGCAUACGACCUACGGGUGAAAGCAGGGGAUCUUCGGACCUUGCGCGAUUGAAUGAGCCGAUGUCGGAUUAGCUAGUUGGCGGGGUAAAGGCCCACCAAGGCGACGAUCCGUAGCUGGUCUGAGAGGAUGAUCAGCCACACUGGAACGGAGACACGGUCCAGACUCCUACGGGAGGCAGCAGUGGGGAAUAUUGGACAAUGGGCGCAAGCCUGAUCCAGCCAUACCGCGUGGGUGAAGAAGGCCUUCGGGUUGUAAAGCCCUUUUGUUGGGAAAGAAAAGCAGCAGGUUAAUACCCCGCUGUUCUGACGGUACCCAAAGAAUAAGCACCGGCUAACUUCGUG
rnacentral:rRNA from 1 species